rnacentral:pre_miRNA from 1 species
UUUCUUGUGUUAAGGUGCAUCUAGUGCAGUUAGUGAAACAGCUUAGAAUCUACUGCCCUAAAUGCCCCUUCUGCCACAGGCUA